rnacentral:ncRNA from 1 species
UACUUGAUUAAAUGGAACGUGUAUCAUUUCCUAGCCAUUAUUCUGGAUAUAUUUAUUAUAUCUUAUGGUAUUGGGUUUUGAUGCAAGCUUCUUGAUCAAAGUAUCACGAGUUUGUUAUAUAAUCGCAAACAAAUUCUUUAAUAAAACGAUGCAUUUAUGUAUUUUUGAUUUGAAAAUUUGGUAUAACUCCAAUUACUCAGGUAUGAUCCAAUUCAAGGACAUUGCCAGGUAGGGAGUUUGACUGGGGCGGUACAUCUCUCAAAUAAUAACGGAGGUGUCCCAAGGCCAGCUCAGUGCGGACAGAAACCACACAUAGAGCAAAAGGGCAAAUGCUGACUUGAUCUCGGUGUUCAGUACACACAGGGACAGCAAAAGCUCGGCCUAUCGAUCCUUUUGGUUUAAAGAGUUUUUAACAAGAGGUGUCAGAAAAGUUACCAUAGGGAUAACUGGCUUGUGGCGGCCAAGCGUUCAUAGCGACGUCGCUUUUUGAUCCUUCGAUGUCGGCUCUUCCUAUCAUUGUGAAGCAAAAUUCACCAAGCGUUGGAUUGUUCACCCAUGCAAGGGAACGUGAGCUGGGUUUAGACCGUCGUGAGACAGGUUAGUUUUACCCUACUAAUGACAAAACGUUGUUGCGACAGCAUUCCUGCGUAGUACGAGAGGAACCGCAGGUACGGACCAAUGGCACAAUACUUGUUCGAGCGAACAGUGGUAUGACGCUACGUCCGUUGGAUUAUGCCUGAACGCCUCUAAGGUCGUAUCCGUGCUGGACUGCAAUGAUAAAUAAGGGGCAAUUUGCAUUGUAUGGCUUCUAAACCAUUUAAAGUUUAUAAUUUAUUUUAUAAACGACAAUGGAUGUGAUGCCAAUGUAAUUUGUAACAUAGUAAAUUAGGAGGAUCUUCGAUCACCUGAUGCCGCGCUAGUUACAUAUAAAAGCAUUAUUUAAUACAAUGACAAAGCCUAGAAUCAAUUGUAAACGACUUUUGUAACAGGCAAGGUGUUGUAAGUGUUUGAGCAGCUGCCAUACUGCGAUCCACUGAAGCUUAUCCUUUGCUUGAUGAUUCGA